UGGGGGAUAUUGCACAAUGGGCGAAAGCCUGAUGCAGCGACGCCGCGUGGGGGAUGAAGGCUUUCGGGUUGUAAACCUCUUUCGCUAUCGAACAAGGCCCGCUUAGGGUGGGUGGAGGGUAGGUGGAGAAGAAGCGCCGGCUAACUAUGUGCCAGCAGCCGCGGUAAUACGUAGGGCGCGAGCGUUGUCCGGAAUUAUUGGGCGUAAAGGGCUUGUAGGCGGCUUGUUGCGCCUGCUGUGAAAACGCGGGGCUUAACUUCGCGCGUGCAGUGGGUACGGGCAGGCUUGAGUGUGGUAGGGGUGACUGGAAUUCCAGGUGUAGCGGUGGAAUGCGCAGAUAUCUGGAGGAACACCGAUGGCGAAGGCAGGUCACUGGGCCAUUACUGACGCUGAGGAGCGAAAGCAUGGGUAGCGAACAGG
rnacentral:rRNA from 1 species